rnacentral:rRNA from 1 species
GUGAUCCAGCCAUGCCGCGUGCAGGAUGACUGCCCUAUGGGUUGUAAACUGCUUUUAUACGGGAAGAAACCUACCUUCGUGAAGGUAGCUGACGGUACCGUAAGAAUAAGGACCGGCUAACUCCGUGCCAGCAGCCGCGGUAAUACGGAGGGUCCGAGCGUUAUCCGGAAUCAUUGGGUUUAAAGGGUCCGUAGGCGGGCCUAUAAGUCAGGGGUGAAAGGCCACGGCUCAACCGUGGGACUGCCUUUGAUACUGUAGGUCUUGAGUCGUUGUGGGGUUGCCGGAACAUGUGGUGUAGCGGUGAAAUGCAUAGAUAUCACAUAGAACACCGAUCGCGAAGGCAGGUGACCAACAACGUACUGACGCUGAUGGACGAAAGCGUGGGUAGCGAACGGGAUUAGAUACCCCGGUAGUCCACGCCGUAAACGAUGGAUACUAGCUGUCGGGACCUCGGUCUCGGCGGCCAAGCGAAAGUGAUAAGUAUCCCACCUGGGGAGUACGUUCGCAAGAAUGAAACUCAAAGGAAUUGACGGGGGCCCGCACAAGCGGUGGAGCAUGUGGUUUAAUUCGAUGAUACGCGAGGAACCUUACCAGGGCUUAAAUGCAUUAUGACAGGUCUAGAGAUAGACUUUUCUUCGGACAUUUUGCAAGGUGCUGCAUGGUUGUCGUCAGCUCGUGCCGUGAGGUGUCAGGUUAAGUCCUAUAACGAGCGCAACCCCUACCGUUAGUUGCCAGCGAGUCAAGUCGGGGACUCUAACGGGACUGCCGGUGCAAACCGUGAGGAAGGUGGGGACGACGUCAAAUCAUCACGGCCCUUACGUCCUGGGCCACACACGUGCUACAAUGGCCGGUACAGAGGGAAGCCACCCCGCAAGGGGGCGCGGAUCUACAAAACCGGUCACAGUUCGGAUCGGGGUCUGCAACUCGACCCCGUGAAGCUGGAAUCGCUAGUAAUCGGAUAUCAGCCAUGAUCCGGUGAAUACGUUCCCGGGCCUUGUACACACCGCCCGUCAAGCCAUGGAAGCCGGGAGUGCCUGAAGUCCGUCACCGCAAGGAGCGGCCUAGCAAA